rnacentral:rRNA from 1 species
UACGUAGGGUGCGAGCGUUAAUCGGAAUUACUGGGCGUAAAGCGUGCGCAGGCGGUUUUGUAAGCCAGAUGUGAAAUCCCCGGGCUUAACCUGGGAAUGGCAUUUGGGACUGCAAGGCUCGAGUGCGGCAGAGGAGACUGGAAUUCCUGGUGUAGCAGUGAAAUGCGUAGAUAUCAGGAGGAACACCGAUGGCGAAGGCAGGUCUCUGGGCUGACACUGACGCUCAUGCACGAAAGCGUGGGGA